AUUGAACGCUAGCGGGAUGCUUUACACAUGCAAGUCGAACGGCAGCGCGGACUUCGGUCUGGCGGCGAGUGGCGAACGGGUGAGUAAUGUAUCGGAACGUGCCCAGUAGCGGGGGAUAACUACGCGAAAGCGUAGCUAAUACCGCAUACGCCCUACGGGGGAAAGCAGGGGAUCGUAAGACCUUGCACUAUUGGAGCGGCCGAUAUCGGAUUAGCUAGUUGGUGAGGUAACGGCUCACCAAGGCGACGAUCCGUAGCUGGUUUGAGAGGACGACCAGCCACACUGGGACUGAGACACGGCCCAGCCUCCUACGGGAGGCAGCAGUGGGGAAUUUUGGACAAUGGGGGCAACCCUGAUCCAGCCAUCCCGCGUGUGCGAUGAAGGCCUUCGGGUUGUAAAGCACUUUUGGCAGGAAAGAAACGUCGCGGGCUAAUACCCCGUGGAACUGACGGUACCUGCAGAAUAAGCACCGGCUAACUACGUG
rnacentral:rRNA from 1 species